UACGUAGGGUGCAAGCGUUAAUCGGAAUUACUGGGCGUAAAGCGUGCGCAGGCGGUUCGUUGUGUCGGCGGUGAAAGCCCCCGGGCUCAACCUGGGAAUGGCCGUUGAAACUGGCGAACUGGAGUGUGGCAGAGGGGGGGUGGAAUUCCGCGUGUAGCAGUGAAAUGCGUAGAGAUGCGGAGGAACACCGAUGGCGAAGGCAGCCCCCCUGGGCUGACACUGACGCUCAGGCACGAAAGCGUGGGGAGCAAACAGG
rnacentral:rRNA from 1 species